AUGUCGCUCCUACUGAACCACCCGGCGGCGCUGAAGAAGGCACAGGCCGAGAUCGACGCGUCCAUCGGGACCUCCCGCAUGGUCACCGCUGACAACGUGCCCCGCCUCAGCUACCUCCAGUGCAUCAUCAAUGAGACGCUACGCCUGUACCCGGCGGCGCCGCUGCUGCUGCCGCACGAGUCCUCCAUCGACUGCAAGGUCGGCGGCUACGAGGUGCCGAGCGGCACCAUGCUGAUCGUGAACGCGUACGCCCUCCACAGGGACCCGGCUGUAUGGGAGGACCCGACGGUGUUCCGCCCGGAGCGGUUCAAGGACGGCAAGGGCGAUGGGCUGCUGCUGAUGCCCUUCGGGAUGGGGCGGCGGAGGUGCCCCGGCGAGGCGCUGGCGCUGCAGACGGUCGGGGUGGUUCUUGGGACGCUGGUGCAGUGCUUUGACUGGGACCGGGUGGACGGCGUGGAGGUGGACAUGACGGAGGGGGUGGGGAUCACCAUGCCCAAGGCCGUGGCUUUGGAGGCCGUGUGUAGGCCACGCGCGGCCAUGCGUGAUGUUCUUCAGAUCAAACUUCUUGGCAUCUCAUAUGUACAGUAG
rnacentral:rRNA from 1 species